UACGGAGGGUGCAAGCGUUAUCCGGAUUCACUGGGUUUAAAGGGUGCGUAGGUGGGUCUGUAAGUCCGUGGUGAAAUCUCCGAGCUUAACUUGGAAACUGCCAUGGAUACUAUAGAUCUUGAAUACUGUGGAGGUUAGCGGAAUAUGUCAUGUAGCGGUGAAAUGCUUAGAUAUGACAUGGAACACCAAUUGCGAAGGCAGCUGGCUACACAAAUAUUGACACUGAUGCACGAAAGCGUGGGGAUCAAACAGG
rnacentral:rRNA from 1 species